AAUGAACGCUGGCGGCGUGCCUAACACAUGCAAGUCGAACGAGAAUAGGGUGGCAACAUCCUUAGUAAAGUGGCAAACGGGUGAGUAACGCGUGAGUAAUCUACCUCUGAAACUGGGAUAACCUGUCGAAAGAUAGGCUAAUACCGGAUAAUAUUAUAUUUGCGUAAGCAUAUAUGAUUAAAGGUGGCCUCUACAUGUAGCUAUUAGUUGGAGAUGAGCUCGCGUACUAUUAGGUAGUUGGUAGGGUAAUGGCCUACCAAGGCGAAGAUGGUUAGCUGGUCUGAGAGGACGACCAGCCACACUGGAAUUGAGAUACGGUCCAGACUCCUACGGGAGGCAGCAGUGAGGAAUAUUGCGCAAUGGGGGGAACCCUGACGCAGCGACGCCGCAUGAGCGAUGAAGGCCUUCGGGUUGUAAAGCUCUGUCAGGCAGGAAUAAGUUUCAAGGAUUAAUAAUUUUUGGGAUUGAAUGUACUGCCGGAGGAAGCCUCGGCUAACUACGUGCCAGCAGCCGCAGUAAAAC
rnacentral:rRNA from 1 species